rnacentral:rRNA from 1 species
UACGUAGGGUGCGAGCGUUGUCCGGAAUUAUUGGGCGUAAAGAGCUCGUAGGCGGUUUGUUGCGUCUAUCGUGAAAACCUGCGGCUUAACUGUGGGCUUGCGGUGGAUACGGGCAGACUUGAGUUCGGUAGGGGAGACUGGAAUUCCUGGUGUAGCGGUGAAAUGCGCAGAUAUCAGGAGGAACACCGGUGGCGAAGGCGGGUCUCUGGGCCGAUACUGACGCUGAGGAGCGAAAGCCAGGGGAGCAAACGGG